rnacentral:rRNA from 1 species
GACGAACGCUGGCGGCGUGCCUAAUACAUGCAAGUAGAACGCUGAAGGCGGAGCUUGCUUCUCCGGAUGAGUUGCGAACGGGUGAGUAACGCGUAGGUAACCUGCCUGGUAGCGGGGGAUAACUAUUGGAAACGAUAGCUAAUACCGCAUAAGAGUAGAUGUUGCAUGACAUUUGCUUAAAAGGUGCAAUUGCAUCACUACCAGAUGGACCUGCGUUGUAUUAGCUAGUUGGUGGGGUAACGGCUCACCAAGGCGACGAUACAUAGCCGACCGGAGAGGGGGAUCGGCCACACUGGGACGGAGACACGGCCCAGACUCCUAAGGGAGGGAGCAGUAGGGAAUCUUAGGCAAUGGACGGAAGUCUUACCGAGCAACGCCGAGUGAGUGAAGAAGGGUUUCGGAUCGGAAAGAUCUGUUGUAAGAGAAGAACGGGUGUGAGAGUGGAAAGUUCACACUGUGACGUUAUCUGACCAGAAAGGGACGGCUAACUACGUG